AAAUGCGAUAAGUAAUGUGAAUUGCAGAAUUCAGUGAAUCAUCGAAUCUUUGAACGCACCUUGCGCUCCUUGGUAUUCCUUGGAGCAUGCCUGUUUGAGUAUCAUGAAAUCUUCAAAGUAAAUCUUUUGUUAACUCAAUUGGUUUCUACUUUGGUAUUGGAGGUCUUUGCAGCUUCACACCUGCUCCUCUUUGUUCAUUAGCUGGAUCUCAGUGUUAUGCUUGGUUCCACUCGGCGUGAUAAGUUAUCUAUCGCUGAGGACACUGUAAAAGGUGGCCAAGGUAAAUGCAGAUGAACCGCUUCCAAUAGUCCAUUGACUUGGACAAUACUUUUAUGAUCUGAUCUCAAAUCAGGUAGGACUACCCGCUGAACUUAAGC
rnacentral:misc_RNA from 1 species